rnacentral:tRNA from 1 species
GGCGGAGUGGCCGAGUGGUUCAGGCGGGGGUCUGCAAAACCCUUUACGGUGGUUCGAAUCCACCCUCACGCCUCCG